rnacentral:rRNA from 1 species
UACGUAGGUCCCGAGCGUUGUCCGGAUUUAUUGGGUGUAAAGCGAGCGCAGGUGGUUUAUUAAGUCUGGUGUAAAAGGCAGUGGCUCAACCAUUGUAUGCAUUGGAAACUGGUAGACUUGAGUGCAGGAGAGGAGAGUGGAAUUCCAUGUGUAGCGGUGAAAUGCGUAGAUAUAUGAAGGAACACCGGUGGCGAAAGCGGCUCUCUGGCCUGUAACUGACACUGAGGCUCGAAAGCGUGGGGAGCAAACAGG